CUGCUGCCUCCCGUAGGAGUCUGGUCCGUGUCUCAGUACCAGUGUGGGGGGCCUUCCUCUCAGGACCCCUACGCAUCGUCGUCUUGGUGGUCCGUUACACCGCCAACUAACUAAUGCGACGCAUGCCCGUCCGCCACCGGAAUCAACCUUUGGCACCAACAGGAUGUCCCGUCGAUGCAUUAUGCCGUAUUAGACGGAAUUUCUCCCGAUUAUCCGGCUGUGGCAGGCAGGUUGCAUACGUGUUACUCA
rnacentral:rRNA from 1 species